AUUGAACGCUGGCGGAAUGCCUUACACAUGCAAGUCGAACGGCAGCAUAGGUGCUUGCACCUGAUGGCGAGUGGCGAACGGGUGAGUAAUACAUCGGAACGUGCCCAGUCGUGGGGGAUAACGUAGCGAAAGUUACGCUAAUACCGCAUACGAUCUAAGGAUGAAAGCGGGGGACCGUAAGGCCUCGCGCGAUUGGAGCGGCCGAUGUCAGAUUAGGUAGUUGGUGAGGUAAAGGCUCACCAAGCCGACGAUCUGUAGCUGGUCUGAGAGGACGACCAGCCACACGGGGACUGAGACACGGCCCAGACUCCUACGGGAGGCAGCAGUGGGGAAUUUUGGACAAUGGACGCAAGUCUGAUCCAGCCAUUCCGCGUGCAGGACGAAGGCCUUCGGGUUGUAAACUGCUUUUGUACGGAACGAAAAAGCUCUUACUAAUACUAGGAGUCCAUGACGGUACCGUAAGAAUAAGCACCGGCCAACUACGUGCCAGCCGCCGCAGUAA
rnacentral:rRNA from 1 species